AACAAACGCUGGCGGCGUGCCUAAUACAUGCAAGUCGAACGGGGAAAGCUUUCGGGUGAGUACUAGUGGCGCACGGGUGAGUAACGCGUGGAUAAUCUGCCUUAGAGUGGGGGAUAACUAGUCGAAAGAGUAGCUAAUACCGCAUAAGACGACAAGAGCUGCGGUUAAAGAGGUCAAAGGAUUUUCACUCUAAGAUGAGUCCGCGUAAGAUUAGCUAGUUGGUGAGGUAACGGCUCACCAAGGCAACGAUCUUUAACUGGUCUGAGAGGAUGAUCAGUCACACUGGAACUGAGACACGGUCCAGACUCCUACGGGAGGCAGCAGUAGGGAAUAUUGCACAAUGGAGGAAACUCUGAUGCAGCGACGCCGCGUGAGUGAUGAAGGCCUUCGGGUCGUAAAGCUCUGUCGCAGGGGAAUAACACAAUGAAUGUACCCUGUAAGAAAGGAUCGGCUAACUUCGUGCCAGCCGCCGCAGUAAGAC
rnacentral:rRNA from 1 species